UGGUCUUAGUGCCGUUGGCCGCAUACGA
rnacentral:sRNA from 1 species